rnacentral:miRNA from 1 species
GGUUUCCUUCCAGUUGAUGAGGUACAUGUACCUCGCCGACUGGAAGGAUUUCCUUCCAGCCAAGUUUACCGGAAGGGUUUCCUUCCAGCUGGCAAGGUACAUGUACCUCUCUGGCUGGAAGGAAACC